rnacentral:tRNA from 1 species
GCCUCGGUAGCUUAGUUGGGAAAGCACUAGCGAAUAAGGGUCUGAGUUCAAAUCUCACCUGAGGUG